rnacentral:rRNA from 1 species
AUUGAACGCUGGCGGCGUGCCUAACACAUGCAAGUCGUGCGAGAAAGUUCCUUCGGGAGCGAGUAAAGCGGCGCACGGGUGAGUAACACGUAGGUAACCUGCCCCCCAGUCUGGAACAACUAGAGGAAACUCUAGCUAAUGCCGGAUGAGACCACGAUCCCUUCGGGGGUUGCGGCCAAAGAUGGCCUCUACUUGUAAGCUAUCGCUGAGGGAUGGGCCUGCGGGCCAUUAGCUUGUUGGUGAGGUAACGGCUCACCAAGGCUGUGAUGGCUAGCUGGUCUGAGAGGAUGACCAGCCACACUGGGACUGAGACACGGCCCAGACUCCUACGGGAGGCAGCAGUGGGGAAUAUUGCGCAAUGGGCGAAAGCCUGACGCAGCGACGCCGCGUGGGUGAUGAAGGCC